UGAAUAUACCGGUUCUCGUUAGAUCACCGAAGUUAAGCAUCAUUGGGCGCGGUCAAAUGAUGGGUGACCACCUGGGAACACUGCGUGCCGUU
rnacentral:rRNA from 1 species